rnacentral:lncRNA from 1 species
CUUUCCAGGGAUCUAAUGGUAUGUGUACACUGAGAGCUAAACUUCAGACAAGUGUGUUCUUCAUCCAUACUGUAAUACAGUGACCUCUCUUUUCUUGCAGAAGUAGAUGCGUGCUCCUGUGAAGGAUGAAAACAGCAAUCUCUCCAGCUUGCAGAAGGCUUCUCCAGAUCCUUGUUCUUAAUUGUGCUACCUGUGAACAGUUUCACACUACUGAAAGGCCUGAAACUAAGAGGCAUUUGUCCUUGAAACCAGUCAUGAAUGGAAGGUGAUGUUGAGAAGUCGUUAUCCAUCACUCUGGAAGAGUUGGUGAUGGGCAGACUGCCUGGCUUCUGGCAUGGCAUUUGGGUACAGGGGAUGGAAAAACAGAAGCUUAUCCAGAAAUCCUGAAAUACAUGGUCUGAUUUUUCCAGAACUGGAACAAGAGAAGCACCUCACCAAAAGAGAGCAAAUGCUGUCAUUUGACCUUUUCAGCCUUUGGAUUCUCAGUGCAUCUGACUCGACCAGGCAGGUCUGGGGAAGAGAAAAAUUAACAGCAGAUGGAUUUAUGAAAAGAGCUCAGUGGCAGAUGGUGCCUACAGAUAUUUACUGACAUGGCCUCGGUCUUACAGGGGGCCUGUGUUGGAGGACAUGUUGCUGUGACAGUGGUGUCUGUAGAUGAUAUGUUGAAGGAGUGCAGAGUCAUGGUCUUACUACUGAAGUAGUAAAAUCCACUGAAGUCAUCCCAUUCCCUUCUCCUUCAGUAGUAGACACCUCCUCAUGUCAUGGAACAGAGCCACGAUACUUGGUAGUUGACUACUUGAUGUUUAUUAAAACUUCCUUCUCCCAAGACAGUGAUUUUUUUUUCCUAUGUAAUUUUAGAAGAAUGCUUGAAAAAGGUGACUUAGAUGAACCCUACAGGCUCAUUAAACAGUGGCAACUGAUAAAUCUUUUCUUUGAUAGUCUCUUGAAUUUUUAAGUCUUGGAGUUGGUAAUGCCCAUACUAUAGAUGUACGGAAAUGAAUAUUUCAGAAGUGGGCCAUACCUUUUAAGUGGGGUGAUUUGAAUAAAUGAUUUCACUUUUCUUCUGCCUUUUAAUUA